rnacentral:rRNA from 1 species
CAGUCGCCGCGGUAAUACGUAGGUGGCAAGCGUUGUCCGGAAUUAUUGGGCGUAAAGGGCUCGCAGGCGGUUUCUUAAGUCUGAUGUGAAAGCCCCCGGCUCAACCGGGGAGGGUCAUUGGAAACUGGGAAACUUGAGUGCAGAAGAGGAGAGUGGAAUUCCACGUGUAGCGGUGAAAUGCGUAGAGAUGUGGAGGAACACCAGUGGCGAAGGCGACUCUUUGGUCUGUAACUGACGCUGAGGAGCGAAAGCGUGGGGAGCGAACAGGAUUAGAUACCCCAGUAGUCCCUGUCUCUUAUAU